rnacentral:rRNA from 1 species
GUUGUCCGGAAUUAUUGGGCGUAAAGCGCGCGAAGGCGGUCCUUUAAGUCUGGUGUGAAAGCCCACGGCUCAACCGUGGAGGGUCAUUGGAAACUGGGGGACUUGAGUACAGAAGAGAAGAGUGGAAUUCCACGUGUAGCGGUGAAAUGCGUAGAGAUGUGGAGGAACACCAGUGGCGAAGGCGACUCUUUGGUCUGUAACUGACGCUGAGGCGCGAAAGCGUGGGGAGCAAACAGG